rnacentral:piRNA from 1 species
UGAGCAUCAGUAGCAGUUCAGGGGUGCAA